CCGCGCGGCGCUGGCCGCUUCGCUGCAGCCGGGGCUUCGGCGGGGCUGCGGGAGCCGCGCUGGCCGGGCCGCGGCUCCGCCUGUCCUCACCUGCCCGCCCGCCUCACCGCGGAUGGCGCCGGCGACCGGGGCUGCGGGGUGCGCGCGGGCUGCUCGGAGGCGCUGUGGCGGGCGAGGGCGCGGGUGGCUGGAGCACCCGGCCCGCGGCAAGGACCGGCUGGCGGCAGGCGGGGCGCGCGGAGCCCGGGGCUCGGCCGAGACGGAGCGAAAGAGAAACGCAGCUCGGAACUGGCCCUUUAAGAAAACAUUCCGUGUUCGGCGCUCCCGCCCGGGGCCCGCACCCCGGACACUUUAAAAGGACCCAGGUGGCCCCGGAGGCGAGGUGACUAUCCCCCCACCCUGCCCCUGCGUCGCGGCGCGUCGCGCUGCUGCUCCCGCCCCAGCCGGGGCCGAAGAUGGGGCGGCGGCUGCGGUUUUCCACACGACUUCCUUGGAUCUCGGGGCACACGCGCCGAUAGUUCGGACGCGAGUCCGGGCUGGUUUUGCUCCGUUUUACUGCGUUUGAUUACUAAUUUAAAAGCUUUGCGUUCCCCGUCGCCCCGGCCCGCUUUUCUCCUGCAUUCUCCCCUCGGCCCCCGUCCCCGCCCUGCGAUCGCUGGAGGGGGCGUCGGGGCUCGCGCGCCAGAACCCGGCUCCUCCGAAGCCCCCUCCGGGCCCCACCGCCCCCCUCGCGCCUCCCGGCCCCCGCCUCCUCCCCUUCGCCCCCACCCAACGGCUGCUGCUUCGGGCUUCGCGGCUCAAAAACAACAGCGGAGGCGCCGCCAGCUCCGCGCUCCGCCACUGCCCAGGCCGGCGGGCGGCACUCGGACCCGCCGCCCUCGGUCCCUCGCGAGGCCACGGAGGCCAACACGCCUCGCACGGGGGGACAGCGCGGGGGCAGCCGUCCAAACACCAGGCGUCCUCGGCUGGUCGUCCCAGGGCGCCCGCACCUCUCCGCCCGCGCUCUCCUGCCGCCGCGCCCCCAAGCCCCCAAACUCCGAGGCGCUGCGGCGGAGGGGCCGGGCUGAGCGCAGGCAGGGUGGCCCGGGCCCAGGAGCCUGACGGCCUGAGUGCGGAUUUCUCAUCUGAGUAUCUGGGAAUCGAGAAUGAAUUGGAAGGAAACCGAGGCGCUGCCCUGGCCAGGUUGCUGCCCCGCACCCUUCCGGAGCACCGAAGUCCUGCCCGGCAACGGGACUUGGAGCUGCCGCAGAGUCAGCCUGAGCCCGAGGCAGGGGUCGCGCCCGCGAUGCGGGGUCUCUGCGCCGCCCCGCGAGGCUCCUGGCCUUGCCCUCCCUGCCCUUUGUUGUGUAAUAAGACCUGUGGCGGCUCCACUGAGACCCACACGUGCAACUCCGCGCCUCCGCGUUAAAGGAGGUGAAACGCAGCAGCCCUGAGAAACCCCGAGACCCCGGUGUCCUAGCAGAGGCGCCCCGGAUGGGGAGGGGCGCGGGGCCGGCGCCACCCCAGAGGAAAAGCCCAGCGGAGCCGGGUUGGGCAGGAGCUGGCGGCGGCGGUGCGCUGGGCCUUCUGCCUUGGAUCCUCCGCGGUCGGCACCGCUUCCCUGCUCAGAUUCGAACCCAGAUUCGGCUCCCAAGGCUCCCACGGCUCCAGGGUGCCCAGUCUUGCAGCCAGCUCGCCGCCCGAGCCCCGGAUGGAGGAAGCGCUCACUGGCCGCUACCUCUGCUGUUUCUGGCACCAGAGAUUGAGACUGUGAACCUGAACUCCCUUGAUCUCCUCCCGUUGGGCCCAGGAGGGAGCCGAAUCCAGGCCCAACCGGGCUCACUGAGAAGGUGCAGGAAGCCCCCAACGACUCCUACUCGUGUGCGGCCCAUACUGGGCCAGGACGCUGCAGUGGCCGAGCCGCUGGGUGUCUGCAACGGGGAGCUCCCCCGCCGCUGGGGGCAAUAAACGGAAUCGGUUUCACACGCUUUCCCUCUUGAUCUAAGAACCUUUAAAAAUCCGCCAACGAAUGCUGUUGCCUGGAUGCGCUGCCUAUGACCUUCAGCCGUGUGUUCACGCGCGCCCGCAGCCGUGGAGUGGCGGUCCCUCCUGCCGCCCGCAACCCCGGGGCCGCCGGUCUGCGCACACCGGGAGCAACUUCGUUACCCACAGCGCCCGCGUCCUGCGGCUCGCGCGGAACUGCGCGCGGGAAGGUGGCAGAGCGACGCUCCAGAACGCUGCUUGCGUAGACGCUGCCGCUGCCUUCAGAUCCCAAUUCGGCCGCGCGCGGGCGGGGCCCUGGCAGCAACGAAAAUGGCGAGCCUCGUAGCCUUCCGGGCCCGGCGGCCACAUUCCGGGAGUCGCCAGGUGGGAGCCCGCCUUCCGUGUCCCCAAACGCCCAGAGCCCGGGACACGGGCCGGCGGCCGGGUCACCAAGCCAGUUCCCGGAAUCGGCUCGCGCCGGAAUCCAGACUCGGCUUGCAAAGCCCGCUCCUGCCGUCUCUCCGCAGCGCGCCCUGCCCCCCACUGCCGGCCCUCUUAGCUUCAAAACCAAAUUUUGCCUUUCA
rnacentral:lncRNA from 1 species